AAGACUGUGCUUCACAGGAUCAUUUCUGUAGGCUAGUUUUCAGCUUUUCCUUACCUAAAGGAAACAGUAUUGAA